AGCCAGGAGGAGGGGGGCGCCCGCCCCCUCCCGCGGCGGACCCUCGAGGUGUACCAGGAGCCCUCUGCCCCCCAGCUUGGGAAGCGGGACAGGGCCUUUGGGGCGUCAGAGGCGGCGUGAGUGUUACCAUGGCGAUCAAGGAACGGAGGGUCGAGAUGGAAGUGGGACUGGCGGCGUGGGCGAGGGGAGGCAGAGCGGGGAGCAGCCUGCUCCGGGGCCCUCCCUUUGGGCGGCCCCGGGCCCCUGGCUGCCCGCCUCCUCGCAGGGGACUCCCUCUCGCGGGUGUCUCAGGCCAGGCCCUGCUUGCUGGGGGGCUUUGCCUGCAAUUUGGGGAGGAGCGGAGGAAUUGUCUUCCAGGAGCAGCAGAGGCUUCACGGGGCACCUCCCGGCGAUGGGCAGUGGUCAGAGGCUCCCCUGGAGGAGGUUCCUGCCCUCCCCAAAGGAGCCGGUGCCCCUCAUAGAGCAUCGCAAGGCCUUUUUGUCGCCCACAAGACUCGGGUUUGGGCUCUGGGGUGGCAGGAGGCGAGGGGAGGGCCCUUUCCUUGAUGCCAGAGGGGCUGAGCGCCCCUUGUUCUUUGAAUGCACCCAAGCCUUGUCCUCCCCGCUUUCUCCCAGACCCUCUCAGCCCCCGCGAUGGGAUAAUUAGAUGCGAGGGCUCAGUGCAGACGAUGCUCCUGUCGCUUAGCAACUAAUGGUUUCCAUGGACACAGUGAACCACAGCCUGCUGAGCAGCAAGUGAGCAGUGCAGGAGGGCAGGGAGAGAGGAAACUCCCCCAUCAUCCACUUCUGGGCGUGGAGGUGCCCACUAGAUCCGGCUUCCACCUUCUGGGCUGAAUGGAUCUUCAGACCGGUCUCUGAUCGAGCCUUUGGUCCACGGAGGAAUCCCCUUUCAAAAUCCCAGAAUCAGGUGGAGAAAAAGCUGUUUGAAAAACAGAAGACACCAUCAACACUGAGAACAAACAGACAAGUUAGAUGUUUCGGAUUUUACCCUCUGUUGCGCUUGGUUGAUUUUCGGGGGGGGAAACUGAGGAAGGGGAGCAAGGCUCAGAAUACACAGUGCCGUAUGAAAUAACAUUUUGUCAGUCACAUUUUUUUACUUUUUCUGAAUCUUUCAUUUUCAGUGACUUUGGAAAACUGAAGGAUUACCUGUAUUGAGAGAAGCGUCUCUACCCUUUUACAUAUUAAUUUUGGUGUAUUUCAUUUGGUCCAUUUCCAAAUAUAA